rnacentral:tRNA from 1 species
GCCUGGGUGGCUCAGUCAGUAAAGUGUCUGACUUCAGCUCAGGUCAUGAUCUCUCAUUCGUGAGUUUGAGCCUCACAUUGGGCU